GUGGCAUGGCUACUGGGUUUUUUAGGGGCGUGAAUCGCUUUUAUCAAAGGCGGCUCUUUAACUUGUACAAGAUGGACUUCCUGCUCUUUAAUUACAGUAUUCCAAAUUACCUGCAGAUACGCUGAACCCUAUUUUGUGUGUGUAGGGCCCGGUGCCUUUAUUAACACUUUCAUAAUUUACAUGGGCUGGAAAAUGGAGCCUCUCCA